rnacentral:rRNA from 1 species
AGUCGAGCGGUAGAGAGAAGCUUGCUUCUCUUGAGAGCGGCGGACGGGUGAGUAAUGCCUAGGAAUCUGCCUGGUAGUGGGGGAUAACGUCCGGAAACGGACGCUAAUACCGCAUACGUCCUACGGGAGAAAGCAGGGGACCUUCGGGCCUUGCGCUAUCAGAUGAGCCUAGGUCGGAUUAGCUAGUUGGUGGGGUAAUGGCUCACCAAGGCGACGAUCCGUAACUGGUCUGAGAGGAUGAUCAGUCACACUGGAACUGAGACACGGUCCAGACUCCUACGGGAGGCAGCAGUGGGGAAUAUUGGACAAUGGGCGAAAGCCUGAUCCAGCCAUGCCGCGUGUGUGAAGAAGGUCUUCGGAUUGUAAAGCACUUUAAGUUGGGAGGAAGGGCAGUAAAUUAAUACUUUGCUGUUUUGACGUUACCGACAGAAUAAGCACCGGCUAACUCUGUGCCAGCAGCCGCGGUAAUACAGAGGGUGCAAGCGUUAAUCGGAAUUACUGGGCGUAAAGCGCGCGUAGGUGGUUCGUUAAGUUGGAUGUGAAAUCCCCGGGCUCAACCUGGGAACUGCAUUCAAAACUGACGAGCUAGAGUAUG